rnacentral:misc_RNA from 1 species
UUUCCGUAGGUGAACCUGCGGAAGGAUCAUUACCGAGUGAGGGCCCUCUGGGCCCAACCUCCCACCCGUGUUUAUCGUACCUUGUUGCUUCGGCGGGCCCGCCUCACGGCCGCCGGGGGGCACCCGCCCCCGGGCCCGCGCCCGCCGAAGACACCAUUGAACGCUGUCUGAAGAUUGCAGUCUGAGCAUCUUGGCUAAAUCAGUUAAAACUUUCAACAACGGAUCUCUUGGUUCCG